rnacentral:misc_RNA from 13 species
GUAUAGUCAGUCAAAGUGCACCCGUACAGCGCCACAGCCACCACGCUACGUCAUGUUUCGGUGCGCAUGCGCGAACUGCGGAUCGCGGAUCGCGGAUCGGAGAUGAUGGAAGAUCGCUGGCAGAGAUCACUCCAAACAGUUGUUUAUGGCUUGAGGAAGCUGGUGGCCACUCACUCACUCACUCCUCCUCCUAGCAGGCAUCUAGCGGAUGUGGCCCGUUGUCUUCGGCACAAAAAAAAAAAGAGUGAAAACUGGCUGGGUAAUAACUUGGCAAUUAAAGUACUGCGGAGAGCGAGUCCGAAAAAAGCGAAAAUCCCAGGCGAGUCCUGCAGUUUUCGGCGCAAACAAUCAAUUGGCCAGCCAGCCACAAAAAGUCGGCCAAGUGGGACGGUGGCAGCCUCCAGGCACGAGCCACUCACUACUCGAUACUGCGAUACCUCGACGAUCCACUGAUAAAGCCGUCUUUUUUGGGUGCAGCAACUUGGCUGCAAGUCUCUGCUACCGAUUCCCCGUGAUUAAGCCAUGAAUCAGCUGGCUUAGCGGCGAGUAACGGUUCGCUUUUGGCCAGCUAGCUAACUAUGACUCUUUUAUGCUAUUAUUUCUCGAUUUUUUCGGUGGGCGUGAGCCUUGCAGCUAAAGGUGGCCAUUGGGCCGAGUGAUUGUCAUGCUAUGGCAAAAUCAAUUUUCCAUCAGGUUUUCCGCCCAGUGAGUGUGUGUUUCAAUGAAAUUUUCAUUUGCCUCUGUCAGUUGCAAUGCCCGGGUAUAAAGUGUUCAUAAAUUUGCAGCGAAAGCUGACAAUGAAAAUUAACAUGUCCAAUAAGUAUAGUGGGCUAGAGUUUGCAAGUCAGUAAAACCUAAAAAAUAACCAAUAAAUCCAAAAAUAUUGGCAAAU